CCUACGGGUGGCAGCAGUGGGGAAUAUUGGACAAUGGGGGCAACCCUGAUCCAGCCAUGCCGCGUGUGUGAAGAAGGCCCUCGGGUUGUAAAGCACUUUCAGUGAGGAAGAACGCCUGGUGGUUAAUACCCAUCAGGAAAGACAUCACUCACAGAAGAAGCACCGGCUAACUCCGUGCCAGCAGCCGCGGUAAUACGGAGGGUGCGAGCGUUAAUCGGAAUUACUGGGCGUAAAGCGCGCGUAGGUGGCUUGAUAAGCCGGUUGUGAAAGCCCCGGGCUCAACCUGGGAACGGCAUCCGGAACUGUCAAGCUAGAGUGCAGGAGAGGAAGGUAGAAUUCCCGGUGUAGCGGUGAAAUGCGUAGAGAUCGGGAGGAAUACCAGUGGCGAAGGCGGCCUACUGGACUGACACUGACACUGAGGUGCGAAAGCGUGGGUAGCAAACAGGAUUAGAUACCCUAGUAGUC
rnacentral:rRNA from 1 species